rnacentral:tRNA from 1 species
GCGGUAAUGGUGGAAUGGUAGACACGAGAGACUUAAAAUCUCUUGACCCUUAUCGGUCGUGUGGGUUCAAGUCCCACUUUCCGCA